rnacentral:lncRNA from 1 species
GGAAACGGGAAAAACUUUUCCUAAGGCUACAGAGUCAGCUCUUGCUCUCCCCCAACCCCCACAGGAUUCUACAUGGAGCACACUCAUGCUGCCUCAGGGCCUUGAAGGGGGUACUACAGGUUAAACGGACAUGGCUCAUGUGUCACAAGGCUGAUUAACUCAUCCCGAAUUCCCUGGGCUGCCAGUGUGUUUAUCUAAGUGUAUUUUUUAAUGGUCCAUGGGUGGAGCGUGUGUGAGGGAGAGGAAGGAGAAGCAUGUGGUAAUGAAGGUUGUGCUGAGCCUCAACUUUUUUGGAAAAUGAGAUGUGGCGGCCUGUGAUGACUAUUGCCUUUUUUUCUUAGGUGUUAACGUCCUGUCACCCCUUUGCCAGUAACUACCCCCCUCACUUACAGAGGCAUGGGCCGGUGGUGAUGCUGGCUAACCAUAGCUCCCCCAUUCCUCCCUGACAGAGUGAUGGCUUAGGGGAGGGGAUGAACUUCAGGAUAAUGCCCAGUGUCUCAACCGGCUUCCUGUGGCCUGCAAGAUAUAGAACUUUCAGCUACUACGCCAGCACCGUGUCUUCCUGCACACUGCUAUGUUCCCUGCCAUGUUGAUAGUGGACUGAACCUCUGAAACUCUCAUUUCUGAAAGUUCAGUGCACGGGAAGCUCUUCAGAAUGACGCUCAAAACCCUGCUUUGGAGCAGCAGCUCAGAGCCGUGACACCUAGAGCACUGGACUGCCUCUGAAGCUUCAGCUGAACCACAAAUGCAAGCCAAUGAAGACCUGCCUGACAGCAAUCCCUGGACACCCUAGAAAGAAAAUGGGCCACACCUCCUCGACUGCACUGGAUCCAACUUGCUCCAUUUCAGCUGACACUCCGGCCAGAGGUUUGGGUACUGACUUCAAUCAAGUUGAGGAUUUCAAGCGAGAUCUUCAAUCAAGUGAAUCCCAUCUAACAUGGACUGGAUACUAACAUUUUCUUUCUACAGGACCCCACAUGACUAUCAUCGUCCCAUUUCAGCAGGAAGUAACUUGGAAAAUGCUACGCCCCCUUUCCCCAUUGUUGUCACUUAGGAUAGUGUAUAUACCUAGUUAGGAAUAGCUUCCUAUUGUUUAUGACUUUAGGGUUUAGUUAAAAUAGAUAGUUAUCUUCUUAUAUUUUACCUUUAUACUGUUAAGUUUUAAUCCUCUUUUAGACUAAAAGGGGAAUUGUAGGGGAAGCUGUAGCCACGCCUUCUUAGGGGCUGGCUACAAGAGUACCUGAGGGCUUGUGAGGGCAUGGUCAGAGUGAGUAGGGGGACUGCGUUUUCAGUUUCGGUUUCUCUUUGCUUCUUGCUGUACAGACUACCACCGGCUGGCUGGUUCGCUCUGUAAGUAAGGCUUUUCCCUAUUAAAUACCCUUAUAUUUCUACCUGACUCCGUACUGGUAAUUUCUUACUAUAAUCUGCAAGAGCAGCAAGUGCUCUAAAUCCUGGGCCAUCCUGCAACAGUG